CCUACGGGGGGCUGCAGUGAGGAAUAUUGGUCAAUGGGCGCAAGCCUGAACCAGCCAAGUCGCGUGAGGGAAGACGGCCCUACGGGUUGUAAACCUCUUUUGCCGGGGAGCAAGCCUGAGCACGUGUGCCCAGGCGGAGAGUACCCGGAGAAAAAGCAUCGGAUAACUCCGUGCCAGCAGCCGCGGGAAUACGUAGGGGGCAAGCGUUAUCCGGAUUUACUGGGUGUAAAGGGAGCGUAGACGGUUAUGUCACGCUGGAGUGAAAGGCCGGGGCCCAACCCCGGGACUGUGUUUGAAACUGUGUAACUGGAGUACAGGAGGGGCAGGCGGAAUUCCGGGUGUAGCGGUGAAAUGCGGAGAUAUCAGGAGGAACACCGGCGGCGAAGGCGGCCUGCUGGACUGAAACUGACGUUGAGGCUCGAAAGCGUGGGGAGCAAACAGGAUUAGAUACCCGUGUAGUC
rnacentral:rRNA from 1 species